UACGAAGGGGGCUAGCGUUAAUCGGAAUUACUGGGCGUAAAGCGUGCGCAGGCGGUUCGUUGUGUCGGCGGUGAAAGCCCCGGGCUUAACCUGGGAAUGGCCGUCGAAACUGGCGAACUGGAGUGUGGCAGGAGGGGGGUGGAAUUCCGCGUGUAGCAGUGAAAUGCGUAGAGAUGCGGAGGAACACCGAUGGCGAAGGCAGCCCCCUGGGCUGACACUGACGCUCAGGCACGAAAGCGUGGGGAGCAAACAGG
rnacentral:rRNA from 1 species